CCCUUUAAUGAACUUUGUGAUAAUGUAACCACAUUGUGGUCAGAUAAUUACGAAGGAGAAGAAAACCUGAUUAAAGACGGACAAGCAGCCAGAAGAGUGCGGUUUAAUGCUCCAACACCAUGUUGGUUGUUUCCAAAGCAAAAUGUCCUUUCUUUAUAAAUUAACCAUCAAUAAACUUCCAGAGAUUUACAAAGAGCCACGGGGGCAGGAAGAGUCCGAAUGUCCCGAGCAGACACACGAUGAUGAACAUCCAGAGGAAGAUCCGGUCCACAACCAUGGCUACGUACUUCCAGUCCUCUUUUACCUGAAGAGACCAAAAAAACUCUGAGAUGCUCUGCGAUGUAGGUCACCCCCUCGAGGGCCGAUACCACAGCAGGAGACAGAAAGGAGGCCGGUGUGCUCUGGGUCGUACCGUGCUCAACAGGAGGGUUGUCCCAGUCCAAGCUGAAGGUGGAGGGUCUCUGAGGGAGGAUGGUGUAACCCAGACAGCGAGCAGAAGGAGGCGAGAAGGAGGAAAUCCUCUGUCGACCUUCUAUCUUCACCCCAAGUCCCCCGACAUGGUCUGCGUCUUCAUAGCUGUGGAGGUCGCAGUACUUAAUUUGACCUCCCGUGUCCAAGAUGUCGAGACGGUGGCUGCUGUGGCGAAGGUUGUCGUUCUCGUAACCAUGGAGAUCUAUGUCUGACUCCUGAGUGAUCCACGUGGAGGUGAAGUGGGAGUGGCCUGGAGUCCGGAGAGGGAGGAGCUUAUCAGCGAGGUGACGCCGCCUAAGACACCGAAAAGAUGAUUCAAAUUGAAUAAAAGAAGCAAAAGUCCUCGCAGGUUAACCAAACAGCUGCUCAAGAGCUUCAACUAUAAAAUGUUGUUUACGUGCAGCUUAAAGUUUGACUUCAAGCUGCUUUAAUCAAUAUUUUUACAGCAUCAUUUCUGCCAAUGUUUAGCUGACCCGUCAACCUGCAAAUCUUAAAAACACUUUUUAGUGCCUUUAAGCUUGUGUUUUGGUGCAUGGUUGUCUGUUUUGGUCGCAUACCUCUCUCGUUCGGUCAUUUAAAACAGUUUCAAAGCUCUACACAAAAACAGCAAAACCAUGAAGUAUCUUUUUAAUAACGAGUUCACUGUGUCAUCUUAAAGGGCGACGGUCGAUGUGUUCAAAGCUCGUUUCUGCUGCCCCCAAGUGGUCAAAGUACAGUAGUACUAGGUGGAUUUUGGGAACAGUGUGUUCAAGGAGUGACUAGAAGAAGACCUUCAGUCACAUUUCAUUUCAAUACUCGUCACAGCAAAGAAGCACCAAAACUACAACCUACAAAUACAGAAUGCGAUGUUUAAUGAUUAUUCUGAAAUGAAAAUCUUAAGUAACUUUUUUGUGUUUUCUGCAGAAUCAGUUGCAACGUCUGAGUUUUGUUUUUGUGUAAACAACAUCUGACACAGCUUUGUUUUCACGGCGUUUCCUUCAAUGCAACAUGGCCGCCUUCCUUGUUUCCUCAUCUCACUGACCUGUGGACCGGACGCUUCAUGCACAACCAACGAGGCACCGCCGUCAGGAACAACCUCCGAACCCACCGCGGCAUCCUGUGAGUCGCCGACGAGCGGUGGUGCACGUUCAGCACGAACACGGUGAUGACGAUGGACAGCGUGACGAAGAUCAUGGUGAAGAGCAGAUACUCGCCGAUGAGCGGGAUGACCAGCGACGUGGACGGGAUGAUCUCGGUGAUGAGGAGCAGGAAGACGGUGAGCGACAGCAGCACGGAGAUGCACAGCGUGAUUUUCUCGCCGCAGUCGGACGGCAGGUAGAAGACGAGGACUGUGAGGCAGGAGAUGAGGAGGCAGGGGAUGAUGAGGUUGAUGGUGUAGAAGAGCGGCAGGCGGCGGAUGACAAAGUAGUAGGUGAUGUCGGGGUAGAUCUCGCGGCAGCAGUCGUAUUUCUUGAUGUUGUAGGUGCCUACGGCGUUGACGAUCGCCCACUCGCCGCUCUCCCAGUAGUUCUAGAAAUCAGAAUUGUUUUAGCCAAGUGUUCCUACUGUCGUCCUCAGAGGAUACACCCGGCAGACUUUAUUUAACAUAAUCCUGCAGGUUUUAAAUCUCAGUUUGAUGUGGGUUUUAUUAAAGAUGAAAACGUAACAUUGGCUCCCACCUUCAGGUCCACCGUGUUCUCGAAGGGCUCCAAGUCGAUCUUGGCGCGGUCGUACGUCCACGAGCCAAACUUCAUCUUGCAGCUCUGCUGGUCGAAAGGGAAGAAGGUGACGUCGAUGGAGCACGAGGACUUGUAGAUGGCCGGGGGAACCCAGCGGACUCGACCCGUGUGGAAGAGGUGCGCUUUGGUCAUGUGGGUGACAGCGAACUCGCCAUCUGCACUGAAAAAGGGAGAUUGCGAGGUAAAAGAUUAGCGUUGAGACUCGGGGGGGAAAGGAAGUAAUGCAAAAGAUUGAGAAAAAAACAGGUACGACAAGAUACAUUUAAAACUUUGUUCUAAGAAUAUCCACGUUUUUUUUUUUUUUUUGCCCCCUCGGGCUCCCGUAGUUCACAUCCUCCCCUCUCAUUUACUUCCUGCAUCUACUGCUUUACCCUGAAACUUUUGCUUGUGUAAAAUUUUAAUGAUAUGUAUAUAUGAAAUUGUUUUUUGUCAUUUCUUUGUCAUUUAUAGUUUAUUUUUUUUUUUUUUAUUUUGUUUGGGGGGGGAGGUUUUAUCUAAGGCCAUUUAGUCCAGUCUUUUGUUCCUACCUCCUAUGAGAGAAUCUGUGUUUUUCUAUUAAAUGUAUAUCUUGUUCUCAGACUAUAACCCAGCAUUGACAAUUUACAUUUUUUUAAUUGAUCCGUUUUAUUAGUUGUUUCAUAAAUCUCUCCGUCUGCACUGGAAAACAAGAGAGAAACAAAAAGCAAGCAAUUCUGAAAAAGGGGGAGAAAAUAAAGAUUUGAUUUACAUAAGACACGACUUCUUCCUUUUGUUUUUCGGGUUUAAAGGGCUGAAAAGUUUCCGUCUCAUCUUGUUUCAAACUCCCGAGGUGAAACAAGAAACCUCUGGCUAUUUCCAAUUCACACAGGAGACGAUUAAUAAUGAAUCACUGGAUGCUAACGACUCGACACGGCACCCAUGAUGCAACUUUAGUCAAACAAGGGCUGAGGGAGGAGAAAGUUUCACCUCCUUCCAGACAAAUUUCAGAUUUAAUACUUCCUCGCGGCCCCCGCGGGGAGGAAACCAGACCGAAGCUGUGUGAUGCAACAAAGCUGGAAUCAGGCUCAUUUAUUCAGCGGGCUCAUUUACAUUUAUCACACACUGGUCUGCACAAAUCUGCAGAAACACUGUGAUGUUACCGAGCCGCUUGACCUUCCUCCUCUUCACACGCUCUUCACGUUGUCACUGAUCAAGCAGAGCACGAUGUCCGGCACCCAGAUGAGCUCUGAGGGAACUCUGAUGGACGUCACGUUAUCGAAGUCUGACGGCGUCCACUGCAGCUUGUAGUCCGUCCACUCCUGUCGACACAUGCACCGUUUUUAACACUUUAAAGGAAAAGAUCCACUUUGAACCACAUUCAGUCCCUCAGCUCUUCUCUCUUUUUUUUUUUUUUUACCUGUUUCAGCCAAACGUUGGUCGUCAUCAUCUGAUUUUUUUCAUCCUGCAGUGGAGACACAAAUGGACAAAAUGGACAUGUGUGUGUGUGUUGAGAGUGUGUCAAAGAGUGUGUCAGAGGACGUGACAUGCCGAUGUUCUCACCACGUCUAUGAGCUGAGCGAUGGAGAGGCCGAACUUGACGAUGACCACGUCGGUGACGUUGCGAGCGGGACGGGUCCACUUGCUGUAACCUCCGAACAGACUCCUGAAGAGAUCAUCCUCGGUGUGGAGACGAGUCCAGUCCUCAGAGAGAGCUGACACAGAGACACCAGGAAAGAAUCCUUUCAGUUAUAAACCGAGAUAAUGUUUUAUGCCAUGUACUUCUGUCUCCAAAUACAAAUGAUUUGAGAUACUAUAAUCAUGACGCAUAACUCUUUUUUUUAAUGCUUUUUCUGGUUUUACUCUUUGCUUGUUAAGGUUAAAACGUGUUGUUUAUUUCCUGCGUCUCUUCACCUUCCUACGUUUUGAAGGACUAUCCCUCCACGUUUUCCACUUUGUAAUCUCUUCUUCUACUGAAGUUACACAGCAGAGAGAUUUAGAGAGAAGUGUUGUCUCCUCCUUCUGGAACAAAAAAAAAAAAAAAAAAAAAG